CUCUGGAUGGUGGCUGACUUUCAUCCUAAGGGUUUUGCUUUUGCAGCCCCAGCAGGGGGUAGUGGACAUGUCUCAUCUAAGACUCUGUGAUGUUGUUACCCUCAGCCUUCCCCAUCAUCAUUCCUCACUAUGUAACUGUCACUGCUGGACAUAACACAUGGUCCAAUGAAGCCCUCUCUGAAGUCUGCACACCAGACACCUGCUUAAAAGGGUGAGAUUCCUGCAGACCAGGGGCCUCUAGGAGCCAUGCCUUCAAGGAAGAACUGAUAUUGCAAGAAAUGUGUCACACAUU
rnacentral:lncRNA from 1 species